AGGCAUGGCGCGUCUACCAUGCAGUCGAGCGGAGAAGUUGCUUGUUCUUUCGUCGACGUCGCCUGGGUGAGAGUGGCUCGGGGGAGUGCUGCCUGUGGGGAUGCCCUGUUGGAGAGGAUAACCAUUGCCGAAAACGGCCUAUAGACCACAUAAUAGCUUCUUUUCUUACAUGACGAUAUUUUAAAAGGCGAGGUCUGAUUAUCUCUUUGGGGAAUGUUUUGAGAAAUUUGGGUUAAUUCCCUAAAGAGAGCCAACCCUUUCCUUUGUUUCCCACCCAUUAAGGUGGGCACUCUAAGGAGACUGCCGGUGACAAACCGGAGGAAGGUGGGGAUGACGUCAAGUCAUCAUGGCCCUUACGACUUGGGCUACACACGUGCUACAAUGGUUGCCACGUGAGCGGUGAAUGUAGUCCUUUCAGAAAAGUCGGUUGUGGGGGAAUUAAUAGUGCCGUUCUUAUACGUUGGCUGCUUAAUAGUCCCCGGCUAAAUCCCCGCGACUAACUACGUGACUUCAGACGGUGCAAUAGUUAAUCGGAAUUACUUGGCUGGAAUUAUAGGUCGGAGGUUAAGUACAUGGGAUCUUAUAGGCCUGAUAGUGUAACCUUCGGGACCACGCUCACAACGGUGUAUU
rnacentral:rRNA from 1 species